rnacentral:rRNA from 1 species
AACAAACGCUGGCGGCGUGCCUAAUACAUGCAAGUCGAACGGGGAAAGCUUUCGGGCGAGUACUAGUGGCGCACGGGUGAGGAACACGUGGAUAAUCUGCCUUGGAGAGGGGGAUAACUAGUCGAAAGAUUAGCUAAUACCGCAUAAGACCACAGGAACUGAGGUUCUAGGGGUCAAAGGUUUUUCGCUCCAAGAUGAGUCCGCGUAAGAUUAGCUAGUUGGUGAGGUAAUGGCUCACCAAGGCGACGAUCUUUAACUGGUCUGAGAGGAUGAUCAGUCACACUGGAACUGGGACACGGUCCAGACGCCUACGGGAGGCAGCAGUAGGGAAUAUUGCACAAUGGAGGAAACUCUGAUGCAGCGACGCCGCGUGAGUGAUGAAGGCCUUCGGGUCGUAAAGCUCUGUCGCAGGGGAAUAAAAAAAUGAAGGUACCCUGCAAGAAAGGAUCGGCUAACUUCGUGCCAGCAGCCGCGGUAA